rnacentral:lncRNA from 1 species
CCCAAUCAAAUAAUAAAACCAAAAUAUUAAUAAGUCCAAUGUUCAAGUCCAAAUUACAAGAUAAAACAGCAUGCUUAAAAAACCUAAUAGGCCAAUUAAAACCCAAUUACCAGCCCAAAACUUAAAAAACUAACCCUAGCCUACUAACCCAUAACAUGUUCAGAAAACAAAAUACCCUAGCCAAUGCCUUUAGCUGUCGUUCCUCCCACGCACGCCGCACGCCAGCCAUCACUCCACGUUUUGUCUGACACCACCUGCAACAUGCAAGCAAAAGAGGACAAGCAAAAGAAACAACAUGCAAAAAGAUAAAAAAAAAUAAUAGCUAAUAGUUUUAUGAAUCGGCUAUAAAAGCCUUAUUAUAAUUUUUUUACGAAGGCACACAAACAAACAUUAGAAAUAAAAACAAAAAAAAAGCAUUAAAGGUGAUUUUACUUCCACUCUCGUUUUAAGUUUUGAUUUUUUUUUUAUUUUUAUACGAAAAUAAUAAAAAGAAAAAGAGAGGAGACUUACUAGUGGUCGAUCUUCCGACUCCGCUAGUGACCGAGGCCGUCAUCACCGAUGAACGGUGACCUCUUUUUUAUGUCGAGAAGUGCUUGAAACCCUAGAAGCGAAGGGUUUUCUUUUUCCUUCUUUUGGCGAGUGAAGCCAUUUCCUUGAACAAUCUACUCCAAAUCGAAGUUUAGGGGGUCAAAAAUACGAAAAACCCCUUUUUUUGAAAAAAACUCCAGCCACCGUACACGGUGGUCACCGUUGUCGUCGGCCGACGGCCACGUUGGACGGAUGGUGGCCUAGUGGCCGGAUAAGGAGAGCAUCGGGAGGGGUUGAGAGAAUUUCAAGUUUUUUUAAGAAAAGGGAGGGC